rnacentral:lncRNA from 1 species
AGGACAACUGAACAUGUUUCUUGAUUGUCCACAGGAAGCAAGUCAUCUCUGGUUGAUUUAUUCUUUAGUCCCAUUUCUUCUUGAGUCCUUUUGGAGUUAAGAGGGAAACUCCAGCUCAAAGCUAUGUUCCUAAGGAUGCACCAAUCUGACAUUUCUAAAUAUUUUUAUGGCUUCCAUGUAUUUCAUGCUUGCAAUGUGCCAACAAGCCACUAAAUGAUUUAAUAUACUUAUUUCUUAAUGAAAAUCCUGUGGGAAAUAAAUUCUUCUAUGAAUAUUAGAAUUCUCUAGAGAAAGAAUCAACGCGCAUGCGUGCGUGCAUGCGUGUGUGUGUGUGUGUGUGUGUGUGUGUGUGUGUGUGUGUGGUGUGUGUGUGUGGUAUCUUUACAGAGAGACCUAUGGAUAUAUAUCGGAGAGAGAUGUGUAGCUCAGAGCUAAAAUAUCAGGGUUAUAAGGAGAAAUGAGUAGCUGUGGGGACAGAAGACCAUAAGCUCUCGAAGUUUAGGGUGAGGGAGGAGGUUAGAAAAGCUAGGUAACUGUGAUGCUGAGGGAGCCUGGAGGCCAGCAUGCACUUUGCUAUGGUAAGAGGCAUCACAGGUAGCCAUCUGUCCCUUCUGCCAGUGACAAGUGAAAAGGCUCCUCUGGUAGAGAUGAACCAGCUUCACAAGUUCCCGAGGAGUUGGCCUAACUGCCAGAAUUUACAGAAGUGGAAUUUCCCUCAACUCCUGGUGCUUCAAUGUUCUGGCUUGCUCCUGACAGUCAUACUUCUUCCCUUAAAGUGUUCACAGGGAGACCCUCAAUUCUUUAUAUACAUGGAAGCUGGAUACUGCAGAGUCGUGCUUCAGGAGUUGCCACACAAGAAAGAGGAAUCAUGGAGCCUGUACCCCACAUGAUGGACCCACAGGUUGUACUCUGACCUUCACGAAUGCACCAUGAUAUGCUCACCCCAACCACAUCCCGCUCCACCCUGCCUAUGUACAUGUGUGUGUGCACACAUAACAAUAAAUCAAUUUAGAAGGAAGAAAGAAGAGAGGAGAACUCAGGUAGGGGAUGUAGCUCAGUUGUGCUUGCUGACAAGCACAAGGCCCCGUGUUCACUCCCCAUCGUUGUGUAGGCGUGGUGUUAUGGCGUUUGUAAUACCAACAGUUGAGGGGUGGAGCCAGACGACCAGAAGUUCGAAAUCAUCCUGGGCUACAAAGGGGAUUUGAAGCAGCCUGGUUUAUAUGAGAUCCUUAGAGAGAGAGAGAGAGAGAGAGAGAGAGAGAGAGAGAGAAGAAAGAAGAAGGAGAAGGGAGGAGACAGGGGAGAAAGAGGAGGGGGAGGAGGAAGAAGGAGAGGAAAGAAAAAAGAGAGGAAAUAACAUCAGGCUCACAUGUUCUCAUAUUCAUCAUUAACCAGGAAAAUUAAAACAACUCAGGCCCGCUAAGGACAGAUGGUCAUUCACAGGUCAGCGCUAAGGACAGAUGUGCUUUGCUGGACCACACAAUAUCUCUGAAUGUUUCUGAAAUUUACUGCUACUGCUUAAGAGCCAUGUUUAUACGUAAUAAAUUCCCUAGAGCUACUACUCUCGGCCUACCUGCUCACCCUGCCUGAUUCCUGAAGUGACAGGUGGUAUUUGCAGCCCAGGGUCCUGCAGACUGGCAGCAUGUGUGCCUGGCCCUGCCUUGCCCCACAAUAGCCUCAAACAACAACAACAACAACAACAACAACAACAACAACAACAAACAGUUACUGGAUUCUUCUGUCUGCAUGACAGAACCAGGUCCUGUAGUUGCUCCUGUAGAUUGUAGCCUCCUCCCUUUCCUGUCACCCUCUUUCUGGACACAAUUCUCUAUGCCUACCUCCCUUUGAAAUCUGUACAUUCAGAGUCAAGCCUAGUGCUCCCCAGAUAUACUUCUCAAUAUAGAAGAUUUGAAGAUAGGUACCUUUCAUAUUUAUGUACCAUUAUUUUCUUCUUGGCACCUAAACCCCUAAGCACGAUGACAAUCCAAAUUGAAAGAAGAUUUGUAGCAUAACGAAAUGGAUUCUUUGCCUUGAAAACAGCAAAACAGAAUGGACUCCAGAGAAAACAGA